UUGGCACUGUGGGAAUGUCUUCACUACUACCUACUGCCCUCCGUACUUAACAGCCUGAGUCAGGGCGUAGCACUUGAGAUACCUGUCACUGAGUAGACCGAUGGUCUGUUAUUUAAAAUAUUUUACCACUCACUAAAAAUACAUGCAAAAGGGUUGAUCUGACAUCUGUUUUUUUAUAUUUUGCGUUACGAAAGAAAUGCAGAGUGACAUUUACUGCUUUCGGGGUUACUGAUUUACACCAGUCAAUUAAAUCAUUGUUAUUAUGAUGUAUUCUGUACUUUUAGUGAAGGCGAUGUGUAAGUGUGAUUUCAUUGUUAUCUCUUUACAUUGAUCAAAAAUAAAUGUUUAAUGUUCAACACCACUGCUCACACACCCGCCGUUACUAUGACAACCAGUGUAGCCAAGUCAGCAAAUGACUGCUGUCUGAACACACACACACAUCCAAUGUGCUUUUGGAAAGUCAGUUUUCCUAAACAUAUUUUAACAACAAAACUGAUUUGAGCAUUAAGGCCUGCACUGUGAACAAGGCUUCAAGGAAAGGUUCACCUAUUUUGAAUGUAAUAUUGUUUUUGUGCAUCUCUGAGUGAUGUUCUAUCAAUUCCCUGGGUCACUUCAUGUUUUCAUGUGUAUCUGAGUUACUGGCAUUCAAGCAUGCAGAAAUCCGUCAGGUAUGACGUAGCACUGUAUAAAGUAGUUCUCACCACUAUGGAAUUUAAUAGGAAGGCGACUUUUACAUUGCGAAAACCUCUAUCACACAUGUUAGAUUUCAAAACUUGCCGUUGUCAUAACUUGGGAUGAUGUCUUCUCUCGAAUGAACCAUUGAAUAUAUUUUUGCGAUAUUCCUACGUUAAGAAUACAUUUUUUUUAACGAAUCCAAUAAAUGAAAGAACGUAUCACGCGCCACCCAGCAGACUGUCAACCAAUCGUAUUCACGUUGUUACGAUGCGUCACACAGUUGCUAAGCUAAUCAUCAUGCAAUCCCUAUAUCAAAGUCAAUGUACAGUAUAUCUACGUGCCUAUUUUCCUCGAAAGAACAUAAUAAUGUUUUGUACUUGUUGAAAAAAAUGUGUGCUAAUGUUGUGAUUUUGAGCUAGCGCCCAAUAGACUCAACAGAAGGUUGGUGGCACCUUAAUUGGAGACGACAGGCUCGUGUUAAUGCCUGGAGUGUAAUAGUAUUAAACACAUCAAACACAUGGGUUCCAUUUGUUGGAUGCCAUUCCAUUAGCUCCUUUCUAGACAUUAUUAUGAGCCGUCCUCUCCGCAGCAACUUCCACUUAUAGACUCCAAUUCACUCCUUGUCCCAGAAUCGCCCAAAAUGCACCGCACAGUCCAUUGACGGAGUAUGGGCAACGUUUCCCGUCUCCUCAUAAGUAUGUCUGCCAUAGUGAAUGUCAGACCCUCACUCUGUGAAGCACAUCGAUCUGCAGGUUGAACACGGUGGUGAUUGUAGACUCCUAAUUUACAUGCUGAUAUUGUCUUUGGUAUUAUUGUGUGUAGCUACAUUUGCUUGCUAGCUAGCUACCAAGCUAGCCAGCCAGCCCACGGAGAGAGCAUUGCAUUGUGGAUUUUGUCGUCGACUUGAAAUGCAAUAGAUUUCCACAACAAUUGUUCAUGUUGCCACCAACCUUAUUAUAAUGCCAAAAUGAAACAUGUGUUCAUAAAAAAAUAUUGUUCUCACAUAUGAGUGUUAUUUAACACUGUAAAUGAAAGGAAUGAGUGGUUUUGGGUGGAUUUGUGUAGCUCGUUGUUAUUUGGGAUUAAUUGGGUGUUGUAUUUGAAAGGAUGCUUCGACUGAUUUUUUUCCCCCAUUCAAGGCCUCUCAAAGAUAAAUGCAUGUCUGUGCCACAAGAGGGUGCAAGGACCUUACAGUGACAGUCUUUCUGUAUGUACAGUAUAUACUUUAGAAUUUCCUGACACACAUCAUUUGCAUCAAAGUCUGGCUAUUUUAUGACUUUCCUGACAUGACUGAUAGACAAAUCCUAAACCUGACACAUUAUUUUUCAUCUAUUGUCAUAAGAUGAUCAGGAGAGAGAAAUGCAAACCUUCACCAUAUGCUACUGACAAACUGUGACAUCAAGUUUAAUCAUAGUGUUCCACACACAAUACUUUAGCAAUGCAUCCUUCCUUCAUGACGUUCACUAUUCUUAUGUAUUUGAAAAUGUGUAAGCGAUAAAGAGUGAACUUGACAUUCACUCACCCAGAUCAGUGAUACAUUGUCAAUUAAGGGCUUUACACAUUAGCUGGCAUUAUAACCACCAGCUUGAGCCUUCUAUUUACAGCAUUGUGUCAGCUGAAUUCAUUACAUUUAGUUUUUUUAUGUAAAUGAAAUCACAAUUUAAAAUACUAAUUAUCAUUGUUUGAUCUAUAAUGUUCAGUUGAAAUGACAAUUAAUUCAUUUUAUUGAUACUUCACACACUUGUUUUUUUUUGUCAAGGUGUUGAAGUGAGGCCAGGAUAGAACCCCAAUUUUUGGUCGAUCUGGCAUCUGCAGUUGCAGUGAACGUUGGCUGUACAGAAGAUCCGUGCCUAACUCCAUGCACCUCCCAAAAUUGUACAGCUCUGGAGGUGACUCCCACUUGCAUAACAGUGCAACAGUGCAUACGAUGCACAGAGCACUGAGGACAAACAGCACAUUGUGUAAACAAGUAGACUUAGAUGAAACAUGUCUUUAGCUCUUCUGUACCUAAUCUUUCUCCUUUUUGUGGUGUCAGAAACUGCAGAGCUGUGCCAGGAAUUCACCCUGACAAAAACGGACACCCAAAACGUCUCUCAUCGAAUGGCUUGUGACAGUCCUCUGCAGCAGUUACCUCCACUGGUACCUUCACAAAGAGGGAGAGACUUUGAGGAGGAUGCUGUACAUGGCAACUGCUGAUGAGAGAACACAGGAGAUGAGACACCAAAAUAAACAAUGGAUGAGUGACCCUGGCGUUGAGGAAGUCGCAGCAGAGAAAGUGGGAUCCAGUAUGUACACUGAAAAUUCCUGAAAUAUAAACCAAUCGCUCAACAACCUACUACUGUGCCUACAGGGAUUCCCAAAGUGUUUAACUGCAAGACACAUCCUGUACUGAUGUUACCGUAGUUCAUUUGAUUCUGAAUUAGAGACCAUGUAGCACUCUCUGCCCAACUUUCUGCUUCAAAUUAUAUAACAUCUGCAAGAUUAUGCUGGAUUUUCUCUCACAAUUAAAGCUGGUGCUUCUUAAAACAUUUAGUUUAAAAGCAUAACAUUGCAUAAUUGGCGGCUCCUGAUUAAUAGAGUUCACAAGAGCUCUAACUGGUGACAUUGUGUGGACUCACGCAGCAUGUUGCGUCAUCAAUUAUAUAGAAAAGCAUAUUUUUCCAAAUUGAUAAAGCUUUUUAGUGCAAAGUGACAAGAUGCGCAUCUUGCAUGUGAACACUAUAUCUCCAAACGAGUGACAAAUGGUAGCGGUUGUAUUCCGCAACAUUUUGAGAGAUGAAAGACAACAUCUGGUUUCUAGUAGGCAGAAUUAGAGAAGAACCUAUUCAUUCUCUGAUUCAGUUGGCCCAAGCCUGUUUCUGUACUGAAGUCAGCCUACCUGUCUCAUAGACUCUGACCAGCAGCUCCUUAUUAUUAUGGUUAGAAAUCACAUUUGAUGGCCACCAUUGGGGGGGGGGUACUCAUGUUUACGCAGCCGAGUAAUCACCCUUAAAAUACUUUGAACCACCUUUAUUUUUGUAUUACAAUUUCUGAAAAUCUACAAUAGAAAUUGACAAACCCUAGUAAACAUUGAAAGGGAUGUGACAUUGUAGCAGUAAGCUGUUUUAAUUAUCCUUUAUACAUCUGUUAUUCUUGAUUUCAAUAUGGAAAGGAAAACCAGGUAUGGUGUUUUGUAUGAACUGUUUCUUGUUGAGUAAAAUACACAUUUAUGUACUAAA